rnacentral:rRNA from 1 species
UACAGAGACUGCAAGCGUUAUUCGGAUUCACUGGGCGUAAAGGGUGCGCAGGCGGUCGUGUGUGUCAGAUGUGAAAUCCCGGAGCUUACCUCCGGAACUGCGUCUGAAACUACACGACUAGAGCAUUGGAGAGGGAAGUGGAAUUCAUGGUGUAGCAGUGAAAUGCGUAGAUAUGCGGAGGAACACCGAUGGCGAAGGCAAUCCCCUGGGCCUGCACUGACGCUCAUGCACGAAAGCGUGGGGAGCAAACAGG